GAUGAACGCUAGCGGCAGGCCUAACACAUGCAAGUCCAGCGCCCCGCCAGGGGAGCGGCAGAAGCGAGAGUAACACGUUGGAACGUACCCUUUGGUUCGAACCAACCCUGGGACACUUGGGCUAAUACCGGAUUAGCCAUUACGGGGCAAGAUUCAUCGCCGAAGGAACGGCCCGCGUCUGAUUAGCUAGUUGGUGGGGUAACGGCCCACCAAGGCGACGAUCAGUAGCUGGUCUGAGUGGAUGAUCAGCCUCACUGGGACUGAGACACGGCCGAGACUCCUGCGGGAGGCAGCAGUGGGGAAUAUUGGACAAUGGGCGCAAGCCUGAUCCAGCCAGGCCGCGUGAGUGAAGAAGGCCCUCGGGUUGUAAAGCGCUUUUGUCCGGAAAGAAAAGCGCCGGGUUAAUACCCUGGUGUCCUGACGGUACCGGAAGAAUAAGCACCGGCUAACUU
rnacentral:rRNA from 1 species